UAGUUUGCUGAUAGUGAAAUUGAUUAAUUGUUUGGUGAAACAGGCAAGAUGUUUAUAGUGAUGGCUUGUAGAGAUGCCAUCACUUCCAAUUCAAUCCCUGCUUUUCGAAGAGGACUGAGACUAGCUUGAAAAAGACUCAAUGCAAUGCUGCUAUUAAGAGGUACUAAAGAGCAUGGUGAGCAGCUUAUGUUGUAAUAUUGAAGGACAUAAAGAUAACUAGCUUGUAAAAUUUAUUUAUCUUGUAAACUAGCUUGCUUAAUCUUCUUGUAAACUUGAAGCUACAUUCCUUUUGGAACAUUAUUGAGAAAAAUUAAAAUGUAACAUUCCUUUUGG